UUUUUUUUUUUUUGAUAACACUGUUUGUGGGAUACGUGUCUGAUAUCUGUGGGCAAGUGGAUUCCCUAAUAUUGAAGUCCACAAUUAGACAGACCUGCCAACCCAGUAUACAUCAGUUUUGGAGAACUGCAGUCUCCCUCCCAGGGUCAAACCUCCCUCACAGCAACAUAGAACAUAGGAGGGGGAACUCCUACAGGCAGUCAGAUGCCAAGGAGGAUGAGGUACAUAUUCCCAAUGCCCCCUUUCGGUCCCUCAAAUAAAUAAAGUCACAUCUCCUCUACGGCAGUGUAAAUAAGAAGCUAGAGUCAGGGCAGGUAUGUCAUUAAAGCCCUCCACGAGGAAGAAAAGAAGACAAGAAGGAUAUGAAAGAUCUUCAUGAAAAGAUGUUUUUCUCUACCCACUUUCAGCUGCUCCGGUGCAGGUGAAAAGUGGGUAGACAGAGAGUUGUUUGUGUUUAACCAGGGAUACAACCUGAUGAGUGCUACAGAAGGCAGAGGUGCAGUUGAGAAAGGGAGAAAGGUGUUGAGUGUCUGCAAGGGAAUAAAAGACCGUAAAAUAUAAAUCGGAUAAGCAGAAAAGUGAGUCCAUUAAAAUAGUAAUAGACAAUGAAUAAGUAGUAUUAUUAAAUGAAUAAGAUCCAAAUGUAAUCAAAUAACGUUGAAGACAGAGUUAGCAAAUGACCUGGAAAUACAAGAUAGUUGAUCUGACAGGAAAAAAAUAAUAGUCCACCAAAGAUGUCCACAUCCUAAUCCCCUGAAUCCAUAAAUAUGUUACCUUAAAUGGCAAAAAGGACUUUGUAUGCAGGGUUAGUUUAAAUAUCUUGAAAUGGGGAGAUUUCCCUGAAUUAUCCAGGUGGGCCAAAUAUACUUACAAGGGCCCCUAGAGGAGGAAAGCAGAAAAAUCAGAGACAAAUAAGAGAUGUGAUGACAGAAACAGAGAAUCAAAGUCAGAAAGAGAUUUGAAGAUGCCAUAGUUCUGAUUCUGAACAGGAAGGAAAAGGCCACAGACCAAGGAAAGUAGGUGGCCUCUAAAAGCUGGCAAGGGAACAUAUUUUUCCAGAGGGUCUUCAGAAAGAAUGCUACUCUAUUGAUAUUUUGCUUUUAGCCUCUAAAAUCCAUUUCAGACUUCUUCCAAAAGUAUAAGAUAAAGCAAUGGUGUUGUUUAAGCCACUAAGAUCAUUAUAGCAGCAACAGGAAACUAAUACAUUGGUUAAAGAGUAGAAUGUUUGAAUUCAGUAUUUUGAGGGUGGGGUACCUAUUGGCAAUGACAAAGUCUAGCACAUGAACUAUAUAGUGUUGUCAGGAAAAGUGAAGUCAAGAAGCUCAGAGGGGUUGAGCGCAAUCAUCCCUGCAACAAGGGUGUCGAAGUCAUCAUUAACAAAAACAGUGAUCUAGAUUUUCAAAUCUUCAUUGAAUGAGGCGAGACUUUUGUACAUUACCAAGAGAGGAUGAACUUCAGAGGAUCUUAUCUUUUGGAGAAAAGAGAGAAACUCAACAGUCUAGAAGGAACAAUGAAACAUAAGGAGGACAUCCACCUCAUCUCCAGUCUCCAUUACAUGUAGGAUAUGAGAUUUAAAAAUUGCUACCAGUGAAGAGAACAAGAUGAGAAUCAAUGUCUUGAAGAAUGACCAGAUUUCAGUUCAAGCAAAAGGGUAAAAGGAAUGAGGAGGAGAGUGUUGCCAAUUUCAAAGACCAGAUUUUCAUGAUACACUGCAACAGCACAGUGGAACAAUUUGAAGUCUGGUGUGGAAGCAAAUAACAUGGUCAUAUCAGGGGACAUUUGAAGCUUAUGGAACAUGAGCCCAGGUGAUGAUCUAUGAACCAAAAUCUGGGGGCUUCUGAAGAUGACUUAGAUAAACAUGAGAGUAAAGCAUAAUGGACUCAUCCUGAUGCUUUUUUUAGAAGGGUAAGUAGUUCUAAAUAUGGCAUUUUCUGAUGAUUAUUAUCUUGGGUACCUGUAGUCAUAACAUAAAUCAAGAGUGAUAGCCUUACCAGCAAAAAGUGAGGUCUCUAGGCUGCCUUCUGUUAAGCUUGUCUUAGAGAGACAGACUCAGCAAACACACAGAGCUGGGAGGUCUUGCUGAAAUCCAGAAGUCCAUGGAACUCUCGAGACUCCUUUGCAAACUCUAGAGUGCAUGAUGGCUACGGGAAAGGCAAUGAAGCUGUGGACCACUCACUAAUUUGUUGUGGAAACCUGUGGGGU
rnacentral:lncRNA from 1 species